rnacentral:rRNA from 1 species
AUUGAACGCUGGCGGCAUGCCUUACACAUGCAAGUCGAGCGGCAGCGCGGGGGCAACCCUGGCGGCGAGCGGCGGACGGGUGAGUAAUACAUCGGAACGUGUCCUUUCGUGGGGGAUAACCAGUCGAAAGACUGGCUAAUACCGCAUGAGAUCUCACGAUGAAAGCGGGGGACCCCGGGGGUAACUUCGGGGCCUCGCGCGAUUGGAGCGGCCGAUGUCGGAUUAGCUAGUUGGCGGGGUAAAGCCCACCAAGGCGACGAUCCGUAGCUGGUUUGAGAGAACGACCAGCCACACUGGGACUGAGACACGGCCCAGACUCCUACGGGAGGCAGCAGUGGGGAAUUUUGGACAAUGGGGGCAACCCUGAUCCAGCCAUGCCGCGUGU